rnacentral:rRNA from 1 species
CACAGAGUUAGCCGGGGCUUCCUCUGCAGGUACAAUCAAGUCAGGGACGUAUUAGGUCCCCUCCCUUUUUCCCUGCUGACAGGAGUUUACAAUCCAAAGACCUUCAUCCUCCACGCGGCGUUGCUGCGUCAGGCGUUAGCCCAUUGCGCAAAAUUCCCCA